UACAGAGGUCUCAAGCGUUGUUCGGAUUCAUUGGGCGUAAAGGGUGCGUAGGCGGCGCGGUAAGUCGGGUGUGAAAUCUUGGAGCUCAACUCCAGAACUGCCUUUGAUACUGGCGAUCUCGAGUCCGGGAGAGGUGAGUGGAACUGCGAGUGUAAGAGGUGAAAUUCGUAGAUAUUCGCAAGAACACCAGUGGCGAAGGCGGCUCACUGGCCCGGUACUGACGCUGAGGUGCGAAAGCGUGGGGAGCAAACAGGAUUAAGAAACCUGGGUA
rnacentral:rRNA from 1 species